rnacentral:rRNA from 1 species
UGAGGAAUAUUGGUCAAUGGGCGAGAGCCUGAACCAGCCAAGUAGCGUGCAGGAAGACGGCCCUAUGGGUUGUAAACUGCUUUUAUAUGGGGAUAAAGUGGGGAACGUGUUCCCUUUUGCAGGUACCAGAUGAAUAAGGACCGGCUAAUUCCGUGCCAGCAGCCGCGGUAAUACGGAAGGUUCGGGCGUUAUCCGGAUUUAUUGGGUUUAAAGGGAGCGUAGGCCGUUUGGUAAGCGUGUUGUGAAAUGUAGGAGCUCAACUUCUAGAUUGCAGCGCGAACUGUCAGACUUGAGUGCGCACAACGUAGGCGGAAUUCAUGGUGUAGCGGUGAAAUGCUUAGAUAUCAUGAAGAACUCCGAUUGCGAAGGCAGCUUACGGGAGCGCAACUGACGCUGAAGCUCGAAGGUGCGGGUAUCGAACAGG